UACGAAGGGGGCUAGCGUUGCUCGGAAUCACUGGGCGUAAAGCGCACGUAGGCGGAUCGUUAAGUCAGGGGUGAAAUCCUGGAGCUCAACUCCAGAACUGCCUUUGAUACUGACGAUCUCGAGUCCGGGAGAGGUGAGUGGAACUGCGAGUGUAGAGGUGAAAUUCGUAGAUAUUCGCAAGAACACCAGUGGCGAAGGCGGCUCACUGGCCCGGUACUGACGCUGAGGUGCGAAAGCGUGGGGAGCAACAGGAGUAGAACCCUAGUACGUCAGCAGCAACAGUCUGCACCGUA
rnacentral:rRNA from 1 species